CGGAGAGAGCAACGAUGAUAGCGCCGACCGCCCCCGCCGCCGCUCCUCCUCCUCCUCCUCCUCCCUCUUCCUUCGUGAGCCGGGCGGAGUCGGCACACCACCGACUCUACGAGUUCGCGAAGACCGCCCUCAUCAAGAUUUUCGUCUUCCCCUACGCAACCGUCUGCGAUUUGUACUGUGGCGGGGGCGCAGACACCGACAAGUGGGACGAAGCCCAGAUCGGGCACUACAUAGGAAUCGAUGCCUCAACGUCCGGCAUCAGCGAAGCUCGCGAGAUAUGGGAGAGCCAGAGGAAACCUUACACCGCUGAGUUCUGCGAAUUGGAUCCUUCUAUUGAAAAUUUAGACUCAUAUUUGCAAGAUAAGGGUAUCCCAGCAGAUAUUGUUUGCUGUUUGCAGCAUUUGCAUUUAUGUUUUGAAAGCGAGGAAAGAGCAAGGAGCCUUCUACACAAUGUAUCAUCUUUGCUUAAACCAGGGGGAUAUUUUUUUGGUAUAACUCCUGACUCAUCUACCAUAUGGACAAAAUAUCAGAAGAAUGUCGAAGCUUCGCAUAGUAAGGGAAGUGGUCUGAAGCCAAAUACAGUUCCAAAUUGCAUACGUUCAGAGAACUAUGUCAUUACAUUUGAAGUUGAGGAAGAGAAGUUUCCUUUAUUUGGGAAGAAAUAUCAGCUGAAAUUUUCUAAUGACAUAACUUCCGAAACCCAUUGCUUAGUCCACUUUCCAAGCCUGAUCAGGUUAGCUAGAGAAGCAGGCUUGGAAUAUGUGGAGAUGCAAAAUUUGACCGAGUUUUAUGAUGAUAACAGGGAUUUUUAUUUUGUUUUCCAGCUAGCAAACCUGAAGAUGCAUGUAAUUUGCUCUCAGAGCACAAUUUGCAGGAAUGCUUUUCAGUUAUGGUGUAAAUUUUGUAGAUCCUCGAGGAAAGCUUCUUGCUCGUUCCUAUGACAUGUUAGGUUUAUAUUCUACGUUUGUAUUUCAGAAGCCUGACCCUGAUGUUGUCCCUCCCAUUAUGACUCCCAUGUUGCAGGAUGGAAAUCAUGCCCAUGAAGAACGGCAUGAAUGGAUAGGGAGUAGCUGGAGGCAGCAGAUACCGGCAGAUGAAGAGAAACCCGGGCAUGCAGACACGUCUCUUGGUCCUAGCGGUAUCCUCGUGGAGCAUGAGAAAGGUAUCUUGGGCCCUGGCCCCGCUGAUUUAAGGUUUCAAGACCCGUUCUAGGCUGGUAGGACUGAUUUCGCAAUGGCAUAAAUAUGUGAUCUGGUUUGGUUACUACCUGACAGUCCAAAUGUGCCAAUAGGUUUGCAUUACAUGACAUUUCCAUAUGAAGAAUCUUGAAUACAUGGUUCGCUGUUGGUUUAUUUUACUUCAUUAGCCUGAGGACUGUCAGGACAUUACUAAAUAGCCGCAAUAUGUUAAUGCUAGGUUUUAAGUGCAAGAACCCUUAAUUUCAGUAAGAGUAUAACAAUUUAUGCUUUUGAUCUGAAAA